AUGGAGACCACUGAAAUUCAAGUUCAGCAGCCCCUGCAAAGUCAAGAGGAGGGAAAUACAUGCCUCCAGCCAUACCUGAAAGAGACAGCCUGGAAGAAGAAUGUGGGGAGCCUGAGUCCCACUCUGCAACCAGACCUUGGGAGAGCAGCUCCCUUGGGGAAAAGAGUGGGGACAACAGCGUUCAGACUAGAAGGAAAACGCUGGAACCCCCUCAAGACAGCAGGAACCAAGCCUGAGACUGAAAGAGGACCCUGGAGCCUCAGUACUUCUCAGCCGUUUACCAAGAUGCCUUUUGGAAUACAUCUGCUCAGGAGUGUGGGACUGUAAAAUAAUAGCGAUCCUACUAAUAAUAGCACAGAAAGUAAUUUUCAGUGCAUCCUUUCUUCUCACAUUCCCCCUUCCAUUGUUUAUCUUCACUGGGCUUGUUCCUCAUUCAGACACUUUCUUUACUAACAGUCCCUGCUCAUCUCGGGGUGGAUGGAGUGCUGUGUGUGACCGAAACAUUCACGAUUAUCCCCUUAUUGAUUAGCUUCCAUAAAAUUCACUCCUAGUCUUCUAAAGUUUGCUGCAAUCUGAUGUCCUGAUUAUUCCCUUAUUAGGUUCUGCUUUGGAUGGAAUUACUAAGCCAAAUUGAAAUUCAUGGUUGUUAUGAACCAUUUCCAAAACAUCACUCAAAAGCAAGUCAAGAGAUGCUUCUUGCCUGCGUCUGCUCGCCAGAUUUUGGAUCAAGAUUCACAUCCCAUGCCAUGCCCAUUAAUGUGAGGUUGUUGCUUUAUUUAUGACCUUUAUUCGGUAUGCCGUAGUCUAUUUCUGUUGUCACAUUUUUCACCAACUUAUAUCAAAUUCUGAAUCUCACCUUGCAUGGCUGUGGAGUCUGCAUGUCUGUGUUACUUUAUUUAGCAGAUGCCUGGACCAAUUACAAUUCCUUUGCCUUUUCCUCCCCCUUGGACAAGGUGGAGGAGAGUGAGUAAAACCAGAACUUCCUCUAUGUUUAUUUUUAAACAAAGCAUCCUUAACACUUGAAAGAUAUCAUCUCCUUCCUCAGGAAGCUGGCAGCGUUCUGGCCCAGGGACACAAUUAUAGCUUCAUCCUUAAGACCAGAAGUCACAGGUCAGUACCUCCCUGUCCUCCAUUCAGUGUAUGCUGAGGGGAAUUCAUUUACUAAAUUAGCACAGAGGACAGCAUAAUCUCCUAGGAAUUCUCAGAAGGGGAAUUCGGAAGCGCAUAUGUAUCAGUGGGGAACCACCCUGCAUUGGUUUCCCCAGAAGUUCUUGGAGUUUUUUCUUGCUUGUUAUCCACCCAGCACCCUGACCUCAAUAGAUGCUUA
rnacentral:lncRNA from 1 species